rnacentral:snRNA from 1 species
AUACUUACCCUGCAGGAGAGAUACCAUGAUCACAAAGGUGAUUUUCCCAGGGAGAGGCUUAUCCAUUGCACUCCAGAUGUGCUGACCCCUGCGAUUUCCCCAAAUGUGGGAAACUUGACUACAUAAUUUGUGGUAGUGGGGGACUUCAUUUGUGCUCUCCCCUG